rnacentral:rRNA from 1 species
AUUGAACGCUGGCGGCAUGCCUUACACAUGCAAGUCGAACGGUAACGGGCCUUCGGGUGCCGACGAGUGGCGAACGGGUGAGUAAUACAUCGGAACGUGCCCGAUCGUGGGGGAUAACGAGGCGAAAGCUUUGCUAAUACCGCAUACGAUCUACGGAUGAAAGCAGGGGACCGCAAGGCCUUGCGCGGACGGAGCGGCCGAUGGCAGAUUAGGUAGUUGGUGGGAUAAAAGCUUACCAAGCCGACGAUCUGUAGCUGGUCUGAGAGAAUGAUCAGCCACACUGGGACUGAGACACGGCCCAGACUCCUACGGGAGGCAGCAGUGGGGAAUUUUGGACAAUGGGCGCAAGCCUGAUCCAGCCAUGCCGCGUGCAGGAUGAAGGCCUUCGGGUUGAAAACUGCUUUUGUACGGAACGAAAAGCCUUCUUUUAAUACAGGAGGGUCAUGACGGUACCGUAAGAAUAAGCACCGGCUAACUACGUG